GAACAGGUUCUUGGCUGCAUGGCCUCACAGCUAGGAGACCCGAGUUCAAUUCCACUCUCGGGGGGGGGUGGGUUUUCUCCGGGUAUUCCGGUUUCCGCCCACAUUCCAAAAACAUGCUUGGUCAAUUAGCGACUGCAAAUUGUAGUAGUGUAAAGGGGAUUGUAGGGGUGUUAUUUUAUAUAUCAAAGGGCUCUAACGCUAAAAAAGUGUAUUUAGAAGGUCAUGAACAGGUUCUUGGCUGCAUGGUUGUCAAGCGGUUAGCACGCAGGCCUCACAGCUAGGAGACCCGAGUUCAAUUCCACUCCCGGGGGGGGUGGGUUUUCUCCGGGUUCUCCGGUUUCCGCCCACAUUCCAAAAACAUGCUAGGUUAAUUGUUCUAAUUGAGAAAAGGCGUCAACUUUAAGGUAAGGAGUGAGGUCUUGUCACAUCUGGAGGAGUUCGGUACCUUUGGGUCUUGUUCACGAGUGAGAUGGACAGGAAACGGCAACAAUGGAGGAAACCCUAAGAGGAACUGGCUGGGUCAUCCAGGAGGGGCUCGGCGUAGAGAGUGGAGCCGCUGGUUCUUCUCAUGGAUAGGAGCCGGUUGAGGUGGCUGGAGCAUCUGGUCGGGAUUCCUACCUGGUGUGAUGCUGAAGACCUAAGACACGCACCCGGGGACACCUUGGUGUGGUGUGACUCCCCGUGGGAAUCUGGACUUCCCUGUGCUGCCCCCCAUGACCCCGACCCACUUUCUGGGGACUCUUCUGUCUCCCGGGAUUCUUCCUCCGUGAUCGACGGUUCUUGUUUCUGGCUGUUGCGAGGCAGCGGCUUUGAAGUUCUCUCCGUUAGCCACGCUUAGCGACAAUGGACCUGCAAGGGAACCAGGCUUGAGCUCCUAGGUGUUUCCACCCGGUGGCCAUGCAUGUUAAUGAGGAUCUGAGCUCUCCCCGUUCCUCCAAGGUCACACACACACACACACACACACACACAUAAACACACACAUCUGCAAUGUAGCUGCGCUGUAGGGAUUAACCGCCCCAUGCAUCUCCAUUCCAUAUGCUCGCUGUUUGUCCGUGCACGCUCACACAUGACACUGACCUUGUGGCGAGCGGGGAUGUGGCAGGGAAAACAGAUGCAUGCGUGUCAUUGUUAAGGAUGGCGCCGUGCCUCUUCGCCGUGUGAUCAGCAGGGGACGCGAUACGAUACACAAGCACUGCUCUCGCAAAGCACUUCUCUCUCAAGGGCACAGCCUGCUUUGGUCUUAACCAUGAUGCCUUUACGGCCGCCAUCAACAUAUAUAUAAACAUUUCAUUUACUCAUGGACUAGUCAUGCGCUAUGCAUACCUAUUUAUCCAUGCAUUUUUGGUGGAAACACAUAAAAUGUCAUUUAAACUCCUAUUACCCAAUAUAGUCGACAAAAUAGGACAUUAAGACAUAGAAAACCUGUUAACCAUCUUCUAAAUACACUUUCACAUUAUUAGAGCCCUCUAGACAUCAAAUAACACCCCUAUAGUCACCUUUAUACUCCUAUUACCCAACAUAGCAGACAUAAUAAGAGAAAAUAAGACACAGAAAAUAUGUUUACCACCUUCUAAAUUUGCUUUUUAACAUUAUUAGAGCCCUCUAGACAUGAAAUAACACCCCUAUAGUCACCUUUAUACUCCUAUUACCCAAUAUAGCAGACAUAAUAAGAGAAAAUAAGACAGAAAACAUGUUUGCCAC